rnacentral:rRNA from 1 species
GAUGAACGCUGGCGGCGUGCCUAACACAUGCAAGUCGAGCGAGAUAAAUGUGAGUGGAGACUUCGGUCAAAGCAAUCAUUUUGAAAGCGGCGGACGGGUGAGUAACGCGUGAGCAAUCUGCCCCAUACAAAGGGAUACCCACUGGAAACGGUGGUUAAUACCUUAUAAGACCACGAAGUCGCCUGGCUUAGUGGCCAAAGAUUUAUCGGUAUGGGAUGAGCUCGCGUCUGAUUAGCUAGUUGGUGAGGUAAUGGCUCACCAAGGCGACGAUCAGUAGCCGACCUGAGAGGGUGAACGGCCACACUGGAACUGAGACACGGUCCAGACUCCUACGGGAGGCAGCAGUGGGGAAUAUUGCACAAUGGGCGCAAGCCUGAUACAGCAACGCCGCGUGAAUGAUGAAGGCCUUCGGGUCGUAAAGUUCUGUCCUAAGGGAAGAAUACAGUGACGGUACCUUAGGAGGAAGCCCCGGCUAACUCCGUGCCAGCCGCCGCAGUAA